rnacentral:rRNA from 1 species
GACGAACGCUGGCGGCGUGCUUAACACAUGCAAGUCGAACGGAGAGGCCCUGCUUUUGUGGGGUGCUCGAGUGGCGAACGGGUGAGUAACACGUGAGUAACCUGCCCUUGACUUUGGGAUAACUUCAGGAAACUGGGGCUAAUACCGGAUAGGAGCUCCUGCUGCAUGGUGGGGGUUGGAAAGUUUCGGCGGUUGGGGAUGGACUCGCGGCUUAUCAGCUUGUUGGUGGGGUAGUGGCUUACCAAGGCUUUGACGGGUAGCCGGCCUGAGAGGGUGACCGGCCACAUUGGGACUGAGAUACGGCCCAGACUCCUACGGGAGGCAGCAGUGGGGAAUAUUGCACAAUGGGCGGAAGCCUGAUGCAGCAACGCCGCGUGCGGGAUGACGGCCUUCGGGUUGUAAACCGCUUUCGCCUGUGGCGAAGCGUGAGUGACGGUAAUGGGUAAAGAAGCACCGGCUAACUACGUG